rnacentral:rRNA from 1 species
UACGUAGGGUGCGAGCGUGUCCGGAAUUAUUGGGCGUAAAGAGCUCGUAGGCGGUCUGUCGCGUCGAUCGUGAAAACUUGGGGCUUAACCCUGAGCUUGCGGUCGAUACGGGCAUGACUGGAGUUCGGCAGGGGAGACUGGAAUUCUGGUGUAGCGGUGAAAUGCGCAGAUAUCAGGAGGAACACCGGUGGCGAAGGCGGGUCUCUGGGCCGAUACUGACGCUGGAGG